GGAGGGUGCAAGCGUUGUCCGGAWUUAUUGGGUUUAAAGGGUGCGUAGGCGGCCCGUUAAGUCAGUGGUGAAAGCCUCCAGCUCAACUGGAGAACUGCCAUUGAUACUGACGGGCUUGAGUACAGACGAGGUUGGCGGAAUUGAUUGUGUAGCGGUGAAAUGCAUAGAUACAAUCAAGAACUCCGAUUGCGUAGGCAGCUAACUAGGCUGUAACUGACGCUGAGGCACGAAAGCGUGGGGAGCGAACAGGAUUAGAUACCCUGGUAGUCCACGCCGUAAACGAUGAUUACUCGAUGUUGGCGAUAAACUGUCAGCGUYUUARMRRAAGCGUUAAGUAAUCCACCUGGGGAGUACGCCC
rnacentral:rRNA from 1 species